rnacentral:tRNA from 1 species
GCAUUGGUGGUUCAGUGGUAGAAUUCUCGCCUGCCACGCGGGAGGCCCGUUUCGAUUCCCGGCCAAUGCA